rnacentral:lncRNA from 1 species
AACUAUUCUUUGGUCACAGACCAUCCACCCUCCACCUGCAAUUGGAACCCUAAUCCAUCACCUGCUACGAUAAGUUCAACUUCAUCGCUUAUCCAUUUUUGAGAAAAUUUUGAUAAUAUCCAAUAUCCACUGUUCAUCAACAUCGGUUGAAGCUCGUCUUGGUUUGACCUGUGCAAAGCGUUGCAGCUGCUCGAACUUCAAAACUGCUUUAAGACCACCCGUAGUGGAGUUUUUUUUUGGUGUUUUUCUCCAAAAAAAAAAAACGCCCAAACACGCCUUGGGACCGCCCCGGGAGCAUCUUUCUUGAAAAAAAAGGGUGGGGCAUCCUAUUUUAAACGCCUGCACUUGAUUUUUUGGCCAAUAAGACUGUUGCCAACGCCUGGACUUGAUGUUUUGGCCAAUAGUUUUAAUUUGAAAAAAAGAGUAAUUGGGUAUUGAUUGGUUGGGGCAUUAUACCACUAGAACCGUUUUAAGAUAACGCCCCAUAAUGCCCACAUGCUGACUGGACCGCCACAUGGCACAAAACGCCAAAGGGUAGGGGUGUUAUCUUCCCCUCCCACUACACAUGUUCUUAGUUCAAUAAACUCAUUUAAUUUAAUGACUGAAUCCAACUAUACCAUAUGAGGCAGUACGUAAAACCUUCUUUUAUGAUUUUUAUAUUAUGUUACUAUGGUUGACUUUUGACUUUGGUUUUGUAAUACCCCGAAUCUUAAUGUGCUGGUUAUAAACGUGUGAAAUAUGUAAUUUAUAUUUCAUAUAUUGUUAAACGAGUAAGAUAAUUGUGUGAAAGGUGAAAUAUCUUGACAAACCUUGGCUAAUAUAGGAGACCGUUAAUAUUAAUAAUUAAAUAUAUUUUUUUAUUUACCUUACUCCGUUUUUAAUGAAACUUAGGUUAAAACGUAGAUAAAAAUAUGCUCGUUCUAAUGACAUAUUCGUCGUUUUAUAAAACGUCAUACUUUAAAAGUUAUACAAGAAAAACGAGUUAAGCAGCUGAAUUAAUAUAUAUAAGCAAGCAAGCUAGCAGGUCAAGCAGGUAGGUAGGCACGUCAAUUGAAUCCACAAAAAGGAUUUGAGGUGCCUGCUUGCUUGCUUUAAAUAAGAGUCUCAGUAGUUUGUUUAGGUACCAGUUUCUUUUACGGGAAUGCUCUAGUAUAGAGAAUCCUGAGUAUACGAUACCCCGUUGGGUGUUGUUAAUAGUCGUUUUUGGAGCGCGAGUAGGAGCAGGAGUAGGGAAACUCUACAUCAACGUGCCGUAGAUAGUUUUGAGGACCUUGAGACAUAACCCAGUUGUACUAGCGGCAGUUAAGCAAUUGCUAAUCAGGGUGUGCCAAGUUACUAUGGUAGCUACUGUUUUAAAUUUCAAGGUUUGUGAUGUGACUAAGUGAUGCAGAUGUGAUUUGUUUUGUUUUGUCUUGAGGGUUUGAACCUCAGUAACAUCACCACGAGAAUACUUUAUUGGUAACAAGAUCAUUUGGUACAUGUACAUUAUUAUCACUCUUUGCGUAUUGUUUUAUGAAAGCCUAACAAUUUUUAUUAGCAACAAAUACCCUGGGUAGCCGGGAUCACCCAGGACACCAGCCUAGAGGAAACCCACAAUCUCCAAAAACUACAACUACAAACAUCUAGUUGGUUUUGCUACUGUUUCAUUGAUGGACAAGAGAGUUGAAGCCAUGUGAGAGUUCGAACCCACCACCAGCCAACUGUUGAAACUCCCGCUCGCUAUUGUCCCUUUUGUGCCUGAAGAUGUUGUCUUUGUUGUUGGUGCCCUCUCUGGUGCUACUGCCAAAAUAAUUAUUGCCCAUCUUGACCGGAUUAAACUCACCUUGCAGGGAUUAUGCUUUUGGAAUGUUAUAAGAGGUUGGAUGUGCUAAAAGGUUGCUGAUUGGGGCUGCUAUGGGGGAAUAGAGGUCAAGACUACUAGGAAGUUUGAAGAGAAGAUUUAUCUCUUAUAAGUUCGGUUAAUUUGUUUUUUUAUUAUUGUUUCUCUGUUUGAGUGCUUUUAAGAGGUUAAUGAUUCCAGUUCUACCCCUCUUGUAAUGUAAAAAGAAUGUAGCAUAUCGUCCAAUUUUUUAUGAAUGGGUCGUUUGGGUUGUAUUCUUUCCUAACGGGUCAUAUGUAUUCUUUGUGUAGCGUGUAUUAUUUUAUUAUAAACAAAAAUCAAACACGUGUAUUAUUUUUUUAUUAUUAUUCAUCAUGUUGAUUUUGAAAACUUUAUUGAAUUUGUUGGAUUC